CGUCUUCUCUUUUCUUCUUCUACAACCUUUUCCGUCAAUUUCGGCGAUUUCUUUCGGUGAAACCAAUAACCUUCCUCGUCAAUUUCUGGUGAAUGCUUGAGACAGAUCCGGCCAGCUCCAGCCAUUUCCCAGCUUGAUGUCUGGACGCUGGUCCUUAUUGCAGACCUUGGCGUCAUCUUCGAUGGUUGGAUGCAGGUGGCUUUAAAAGGGGAUCUAGGGCUUUUUAUAGAUUUUGGUUAAAUUCUCGAACCUUACAAUAUAUAUGAUACUGCCACUGCUUCAUCUUCUCAGGUUUUUGGAAUUUGCCUUUGAUUUUUCUCUUAAACUAUGGCAACGGGAUGCGAAAUGGUUAUAUCUGAAACCAUGAGAGGUUAUCAUUGCCGUUCUCGGAGUUUAUCAGAUUCUGCAAGCAGCAUAUAAGAAGUAUAGAGAAUGAUUCAUGUGUUAAUGCUAUGGCAGAUUCCUAUAGUGAGGACCAUAUACCUGGACAAAUAUACCUAGCACAGGUUAUGAUGAUAUCUAGUUUUCGUCUUUGUGCUUUUGGUGUAUGUAGAGCCCGACAACAAGAGGUUGAAAAUGUGGAUAUUUUCCAGAGUUAACUAAAACGCAGCUCAAGCGGCGUUGACUAUUGCAAGAAGUGAUCUCCAAAGUCCAAGCAUUGUGGGAAAAUUUUGAAGUGACUUUGAGUUUGAAAGGUUUGAUAAAGUAUGAAACAGGUUAGACUGCUAAGAAGAUAUGAUGAUUUGCGGAAAUCAAUGGCAGUGAUCACUGAUCAUGCCAAGCUUCUCGUCAAGUUUUGAUUCUUUUGACUGUAACACAAUGUGUGGGAUUCUCGCUGUUCUUGGUUGCAUCGACAGCACUCAAGCUAAACGUUCUCGUAUCAUUGAACUCUCUCGCAGGUACUCUCUCUCAAUCUUCCCCUGUUUCAUUCAAUCAAUCACCCAUCAACUUCUUCUCGUAAUCUAUAAAUGCUGCGCAUUGUUACUGAAUAAUCGAUUAUGAAUGAAUUGGAAUAAAGUUCUCAACUUUUUUUAUGGAUGGAAUAGAAUGUGUUUGCUUAAUCGAUUGAUCAGUCACUGUUUGAUUUGGCUGCCAAAAAAAAGAUUUGAUCUUUGUGGAGAAG